GACGAACGCUGGCGGCAUGCCUAAUACAUGCAAGUCGUGCGAACAAUCAUGGUGCUUGCACCAUUGAGCGUUAGCGGCGAACGGGUGAGUAACACGUAAGGAAUCUACCGUUAAGUGGGGGACAACAUUCGGAAACGAGUGCUAAUACCCCAUAUGCCAUAAUAGUCACAUGACUAUAGUGGGAAAGGAGUAAUCCGCUAACAGAUGGGCUUGCGUCUGAUUAGAUAGUUGGUGGGGUAACGGCCUACCAAGUCGACGAUCAGUAGCCGGACUGAGAGGUUCAACGGCCACAUUGGGACUGAGAUACGGCCCAG
rnacentral:rRNA from 1 species